UUUUUUUUUGCCUCACCGUGUGGCAUGUGGGAUCUUAAGUCCCCCAACUAGGGAUUGUACCCACACCCCUUGCAAUGCAAGUGCUGAGUCUUAACCACUGGACUGCCAGGAAACUACUGGCAGUCAUUCUGCUGCUAAUCAUCCUUUUAUUUUCUUCUUUCCUACUCCUGCUCCUCUUGGUCAGAUCCUCUUUAUCUCCACCUGAACUGCAAGCUAGGUAUGCUGUGCAAGUUGGCACUGCCUAAGGAGGCAAUGACCUGAUUCCGGCCCCCUCGUUUUGCCAAGCCUGGCUGCCUGGCUCGCAGCUGUACUGCUUUCCUUUAAUUCUGCUGUGAUCCAGAGAUGUCAAAUCCCACAUGAGAGAAAGAAAGUGAAUGUGAAAGUCACUCAGUCAUGUCUGACUCUGUGUGGCCCCAUGGGCUGUAGCCAUGGACUGAAGGUAUCAUUCAUGGUGACGAAGCAUCCUUGAUUUCUCUGCUCAGGAAAGAGAAGAGAGGGAAAGAAGUACAAUGGCAAUUACCUAAAUUACUGCAUCUCCAUAGGAUUCAAGCUGUAGGGCCGGUAGCAUCCUAUAUAGCACUGAGAAAUGUAGUGUGCGCACUUAGUCACUUCAGUCAUGUCCGACUCUUUGCGACCCCAUGGACUGUAGCCCAUCAGGCUCCUCUGUCCAUGUGAUUUUCCAGGCAAGCAUACUAGAGUGGGUUAUCAUUUCCUCCUCCAUUGAAUCUUCCCAACCCAAGUACUGAAUCUGCAUCUCCUGCGGUUCCUGUAUUACAGGCGGAUUCUUUACCUCUGAGCCACCAGGGAAGCUACAAGCCACCUGGCAAAUGUAGUAUAUAUUCUGUAUAAAACACAUGAAGAACAUGUGUGUGCUUAUUUGUUCAGUCGUGUCUGACUCUUUGCGACCCCAUUGAUUGUAGCCUGCCAGGCUCCUCUGUCCGUGGAAUUCUCCAGGCAAGAAUACUAGAGUGGGUUGCCAUUCCCUUCUCCAGGGAAUCUUCCUGACCCAGAGAUUGAACCCAGGUCCCCUGCCUUAUAGACAGAUUCUUUACCAGCUGAACUACCAGGAAAGGCCGCAUGAAGAACAUGAACUGCCAUCCAUUCGUUUACUUUUUUCAUAGGACCACAGGGUAGUACUUCAUUAAUAUGAAUUCCCUUCAGCUACAGGGAGAGCUAGUCUGUCCUUCCCUCUAGAAAUGUGAACUCCAGAGGCCAGUGAUGGUGAUGAGUCUGUUUUGUUUACUUCUAUAUCCCCAUCUUCUAGAACAGUCCCUGGCACAGAGUAUGCAUUCAGUAAAUAUUUGAAUGAAUAGAGUUCAGGUUAUAUUCGGUAUAUCCUUACAGAUUUUGGUAAUCCGCAGAGAAUAGACUUGUCCUCUCAUAUAUUUGAAGUCUGUCUUUGAGGUCUGAUUCAGGCCGAGUGUCUCCCAUUCUGAUGUGAUCUGGGAUUCAGUACAAAACCUCAGCCUCAUACUUCCAGUAACCACAGGGUCUGCUUCUGGAAGAGGAGGGGCAACUGUAGCAUGAAGGGGAGUCACAGCCCAGUAGGAAAAGCUGAUGUAAUGUCGAUGGAAGAACAGGCCCGCACACGUGGCCACGUCACUGUAGAAUACAGUUGUGACAGAAGCCUUUUAUAGGAUUCUCUUUCUUCUUUUUGCUUCGUUUAGUUUUCCUUCACCCCUCUAUUGUAAUAUGUUGGGUUUUCAUGUUCAUUUUAAUACUGAGGAACAAUUAAAGAGAAUUAGCACCAACUAGUCACUGUCAUAUUUAGAUUAAUUAAUCUGGGUGAUAAUUGUUUUCUCUGAGGAGAUUCAGACUUCUCAGACAGAGACAUGAAUUUUUCUCAUCUGUAGUGCUCUAAUGAGGCCCAGAGAUCAUCAGCUCCAUUUUUCAGACGGUGACACCGAAGCAUGGACACUGACCUGAGGGCAGGAAAGCCAGUCCUCUCCUGGUGGUCCUUUACCCUGGUCCCCAGGCCCUGCUGAGCAUCUACUGCCAGAAAUCAGUAGGCCUUUGGCUCAUCUCUAUUAUCUGAUUGAGAGAAUGAUGUGCUUUGUGGUUCUAAUAUUAUCUUGUUUUCUGUGGCUUAUUUUUA
ensembl:lncRNA